rnacentral:lncRNA from 1 species
UUUAAAGCCCUCAAAGCCCAUAAUUAGUCUAAACUUCAUUCAUAAAGCCUAGCAUAUAAUGGGCCUUGGGUGCAAAUUAUAUAUAUAUAUCUAAAGGGCGUUGGAGAAUUACUGUUGCUAUAACAGUGUUUUUCCUACUCUACCCUUUUAUUAUCUUUUAGUUAUAUUACUGCCAUUUAAAAUUUAAAGAAAAAAAAAAAAGAAAACAACAAAACAGCAUAGACCUACGCCUGCAAAAACACUACUGACAUA